rnacentral:lncRNA from 1 species
AAGAAAGCUAUCAUGAAAGAUGAUAGUUAUUAGACCAUGGGGAUGCAUAGGAUCAUCACAAGCUUAGCUCCUUCUAGUCUCGGUUCUAAGCUUGAGGGGGAGUCUUAAUGCAUAUGAUCCAUGGUCAGUAACAAGUCUUUUGCAAAAGCUUCUACAAGGAUCAUCAACCGGACCAAGUCAGUGGCGUGUCUAGGCAAGAGGCUGUUCAGAGCAGCCUUGGCGAGUAAGGAGGAAGGCUCUCCAUCAAUGCGGCUUCAAUGAGAGGUGAUUGAGGAGAAGCUGAUGAAUCCAUUCUGCCUUUCCAAGAAGUUGAUGAUGCCAGGAAGAUGGUGCAUUGAGAGAGUUUGGAAACUCACAAAAACACAAGGGAAGUUCCCU